ensembl:snoRNA
AUCUUUUUGUAGUUCAUGAACAUGAUGAUUGGAUGUUCAUGCACAUGUGUGAGAUGUGCCACCCUCUGAAUCUUGUUAUGACAUCAGCACAUUAUCCAUCUGACC